rnacentral:tRNA from 1 species
GGCCGGUUAGCUCAGUAGUUUGAGCGCGGUGCUGGCAACAAUGAUGAACACCGAGGUCGUAGGUUCGAUUCCCGCUCGGUCU